rnacentral:rRNA from 1 species
CAGUCGCCGCGGGAAUACGUAGGGUGCAAGCGUUAAUCGGAAUUACUGGGCGUAAAGCGUGCGCAGGCGGUUUUGUAAGUCUGUCGUGAAAUCCCCGGGCUCAACCUGGGAAUGGCGAUGGAGACUGCAAGGCUAGAAUCUGGCAGAGGGGGGUAGAAUUCCACGUGUAGCAGUGAAAUGCGUAGAUAUGUGGAGGAACACCGAUGGCGAAGGCAGCCCCCUGGGCUAAGAUUGACGCUCAUGCACGAAAGCGUGGGGAGCAAACAGGAUUAGAUACCCCUGUAGUCCCUGUCUCUUAUAC